rnacentral:ribozyme from 1 species
CCUUUCCCUACUUCCUCGUGGUACUGGCCGGAGUACGAGUAGCCUUAGGCAAGAUCGGGUAAUCAACCUCGGCGGGAACUUUUGUCAUAUGCUGACAGGGAUGG